rnacentral:rRNA from 1 species
ACCUAAUAGAUACCCAGGUAGUCCACGCCCUAAACGAUGUCGACUGGGUGUUGGGGAAGCGAUUCCCCAGUACCGUAGCUAAACGCGUGAAAGUCGACCGCCUGGGGAGUACGGCCGCAAGGUUAAAACUCAAAGGAAUUGACGGGACCCGCACAAGCGGUGGAUGAUGUGGAUUAAUUCGAUGCAACGCGAACAACCUUACCUACCCUUGACAUGUCCGGAAGGCUCCCGAGAGGGGGUUGUGCCCGAAAGGGAACCGGAACACAGGUGCUGCAUGGCUGUCGUCAGCUCGUGUCGUGAGAUGUUGGGUUAAGUCCCGCAACGAGCGCAACCCUUGUCCCUAGUUGCCACGCAAGGGCACUCUAGGGAGACUGCCGGUGACAAACCGGAGGAAGGUGGGGAUGACGUCAAGUCCUCAUGGCCCUUAUGGGUAGGGCUUCACACGUCAUACAAUGGCCGGUACAGAGGGUU